rnacentral:rRNA from 1 species
CAUCUCUUUAUGAAAAUGAUUUAAAGUACAAUCUGCCCACUGAUAUAUUAAAUGGCUGCAGUAAUUUGACUGUACAAAGGUAGCAUAAUAAUUAGUUUUUUAAUUGAAAGCUGGAAUGAAUGAUUACACGAGGGAAUAACUGUCUCAAGAAUAAUAAAAUGGAAUUUUACUUUUAAGUUAAAAGGCUUAAAUAUUUCUAGAAGACGAGAAGACCCUAUAGAAUUUAAUUGAGUAAAUUUUUUAGAAUUAGAAGAGAAAAUUUGGUUGGGGUGAUUACAAGAUUAAAUAAACUCUUGUAAAAAUACACAAUAAUAAUUGUUUAAAUGAAUCUUUUUAGGUUUAAGAUAAAUUACCUUAGGGAUAACAGCGUAAUUUUGUUUUUGAGAUCUAAUUAGGAACGUAGUUUGCGACCUCGAUGUUGGAUUAAAAUUUAUUUUUGGUGAAGUAGCUAAAAAAUUAAGUCUGUUCGACUUUUAAAAUUUUACAUGAUCUGAGU